GUGGGGAAUAUUGGACAAUGGGCGCAAGCCUGAUCCAGCAAUGCCGCGUGCAGGAAGAAGGCCUUCGGGUUGUAAACUGCUUUUGUACGGAACGAAACGGUCCGGGUUAAUACCCUGGGCUAAUGACGGUACCGUAAGAAUAAGCACCGGCUAACUACGUGCCAGCAGCCGCGGUAAUACGUAGGGUGCGAGCGUUAAUCGGAAUUACUGGGCGUAAAGCGUGCGCAGGCGGUGCUGUAAGACAGGCGUGAAAUCCCCGGGCUCAACCUGGGAAUUGCGCUUGUGACUGCAGUGCUGGAGUACGGCAGAGGGGGAUGGAAUUCCGCGUGUAGCAGUGAAAUGCGUAGAUAUGCGGAGGAACACCGAUGGCGAAGGCAGUCCCCUGGGCCUGUACUGACGCUCAUGCACGAAAGCGUGGGGAGCAAACAGGAUUAGAUACCCUUGUAGUCC
rnacentral:rRNA from 1 species